UACGGAGGGUGCAAGCGUUAUCCGGAUUUACUGGGUUUAAAGGGUGUGUAGGCGGGCCAUUAAGUCAGGGGUGAAAUCCCGGAGCUCAACUCCGGAACUGCCUUUGAUACUAUUGGUCUUGAAUGUUGUUGAGGUGGGCGGAACGGGUCAUGUAGCGGUGAAAUGCAUAGAUAUGACCCGGAACACCGAUUGCGAAGGCAGCCCGCUAAGCAACUAUUGACGCUGAGGCACGAAAGCGUGGGGAGCAAACAGG
rnacentral:rRNA from 1 species